GACGAACGCUGGCGGCGUGCCUAAUACAUGCAAGUAGAACGCUGAAGGAGGAGCUUGCUUCUCUGGAUGAGUUGCGAACGGGUGAGUAACGCGUAGGUAACCUGCCUGGUAGCGGGGGAUAACUAUUGGAAACGAUAGCUAAUACCGCAUAAGAGUGGAUGUUGCAUGACAUUUGCUUAAAAGGUGCACUUGCAUCACUACCAGAUGGACCUGCGUUGUAUUAGCUAGUUGGUGGGGUAACGGCUCACCAAGGCGACGAUACAUAGCCGACCUGAGAGGGUGAUCGGCCACACUGGGACUGAGACACGGCCCAGACUCCUACGGGAGGCAGCAGUAGGGAAUCUUCGGCAAUGGACGGAAGUCUGACCGAGCAACGCCGCGUGAGUGAAGAAGGUUUUCGGAUCGUAAAGCUCUGUUGUAAGAGAAGAACGAGUGUGAGAGUGGAAAGUUCACACUGU
rnacentral:rRNA from 1 species